CUGGGAUUAAUACCGCAUAGUAUCGAAAGAUUAAAGCAGCAAUGCGCUUGGGGAUGGGCUCGCGGCCUAUUAGUUAGUUGGUGAGGUAACGGCUCACCAAGGCGAUGACGGGUAGCCGGUCUGAGAGGAUGUCCGGCCACACUGGAACUGAGACACGGUCCAGACACCUACGGGUGGCAGCAGUCGAGAAUCAUUCACAAUGGGGGAAACCCUGAUGGUGCGACGCCGCGUGGGGGAAUGAAGGUCUUCGGAUUGUAAACCCCUGUCAUGUGGGAGCAAAUUAAAAAGAUAGUACCACAAGAGGAAGAGACGGCUAACUCUGUGCCAGCAGCCGCGGUAAUACAGAGGUCUCAAGCGUUGUUCGGAAUCACUGGGCGUAAAGCGUGCGUAGGCUGUUUCGUAAGUCGUGUGUGAAAGGCGCGGGCUCAACCCGCGGACGGCACAUGAUACUGCGAGACUAGAGUAAUGGAGGGGGAACCGGAAUUCUCGGUGUAGCAGUGAAAUGCGUAGAUAUCGAGAGGAACACUCGUGGCGAAGGCGGGUUCCUGGACAUUAACUGACGCUGAGGCACGAAGGCCAGGGGAGCGAAAGGGAUUAGAUACCCCUGUAGUCCUGGCAGUAAAACGGUGCACGCUUGGUGUGCGGGGAAUCGACCCCCUGCGUGCCGGAGCUAACGCGUUAAGCGUGCCGCCUGGGGAGUACGGUCGCAAGAUUAAAACUCAAAGAAAUUGACGGGGACCCGCACAAGCGGUGGAGUAUGUGGCUUAAUUCGAUGCAACGCGAAGAACCUUACCUGGGCUUGACAUGUAAUGAACAACAUGUGAAAGCAUGCGACUCUUCGGAGGCGUUACACAGGUGCUGCAUGGCCGUCGUCAGCUCGUGUCGUGAGAUGUUUGGUUAAGUCCAGCAACGAGCGCAACCCCUGUUGCCAGUUACCAGCACGUGAAGGUGGGGACUCUGGCGAGACUGCCCAGAUCAACUGGGAGGAAGGUGGGGACGACGUCAGGUCAGUAUGGCCCUUAUGCCCAGGGCUGCACACGUACUACAAUGCCCAGUACAGAGGGGGCCGAAGCCGCGAGGCGGAGGAAAUCCUAAAAACUGGGCCCAGUUCGGACUGUAGGCUGCAACCCGCCUACACGAAGCCGGAAUCGCUAGUAAUGGCGCAUCAGCUACGGCGCCGUGAAUACGUUCCCGGGUCUUGCACUCACCGCCCGUCA
rnacentral:rRNA from 1 species